UUUAUUCUUCUGACUUCAACCUUCCAUGGAGCCAACCAACAUGGAAAAGCACACAAAGGAUCCAUACCAUCGUCGAAAACAACCAAACAGGAUCUUUCCUCCAGCCUCCUGCUCAGAGGAGACCCCAGAAUCUCACUUCUUUCCCUGUAUAAACCUUCACAACCUUCCUACGCCGCAUUUUCUGGUUCUCACGGGAAGAUGUGAUCUAUCACCUCACAGACCACAGCAGAAUUUCCAGCACUGGGGAUGACUACAGUGUGCUCCCGAGAGGCAGUCUGACAGGAGUGUCCAUCCAUACACCUAGCUAGCCAGUGUGACCCAGUGACCUAUUGCCACUUGCUGCCAUACGUGGGCUAUGCCUGUGUUCAUCGCUGUAGAAGUAAGGGGGAAUCCUGGCAUGUACCCAGCUCUCUGACAGUGCAAGUAGAAGAUUUGAUCAAAGUGAAGGGGAUCCCGGCUCUGCCUCAGCCGAGGUCCCUUAUUUACAAGCAGCUGGAACUUGCUCCCACCUCUGGAUGAGACACAGAAGGAUACCACAAUGAAUGCACAUUUAUAUACGUUGCCUGGAGUCUGGGAAAUUAGAAGAGAGACUUUCAGAGAGUAAGAACUUACACAUUAUGUCCUCUGCAGGCAUUUCAGGCUAUUUGGCUAAAACCCUUCCGUGUAUAGGGAUGUAUGGGUUGGAUUUAACCCCAAAGUAAAUCUUUUAUAUCCAAAAAUUAAACACUGUGUAGGGCGGAAGAAGUUUUUGGAGAUUUCCAUACUCUAAUUUCUUGAAGGAGUUUCAUGCUUUAUUUUUUAGUCACUUCAAAAUGUAUCACAAGCUUAUGAAUUCUACCUUGGAUCGCCCAUUCUACCAUCUGGGACACGAAUGGGACUGGAGGGGC
rnacentral:lncRNA from 1 species